UUCGAUUAGAGAUACAGGCAGAUGGUGGCGAAACUCCCCAAGUUCGGGUUUGGCACCUUUAUACGCGCAUGUGUCCACGUGCCCACCCUUGGAAAAAACAAAACCACCUGGUUGCCGUCUCUGUAUGUAGCCGGCACGCAGCUUGCCUUUCCACUCCCUCUCCUCGAACACCGGUCGUCACCGCGGUAAUUUUCCAACAAAUAUUCCAAGUGAAAGGGUUGCCGCGGAGCGCCGGGUGUACACGCGUGCGGCGAGAGAAAUCCACCGAGUCGUAUACAAUAAUAGCAAGA